UACGUAGGGUGCGAGCGUUGUCCGGAAUUAUUGGGCGUAAAGGGCUCGUAGGCGGUCUGUUGCGUCGGGAGUGAAAACUCAGGGCUUAACCCUGAGCCUGCUUCCGAUACGGGCAGACUAGAGUGUGGUAGGGGAGACUGGAAUUCCUGGUGUAGCGGUGAAAUGCGCAGAUAUCAGGAGGAACACCAGUGGCGAAGGCGGCCUGCUGGGCUGUUGCUGACGCUGAGGCGCGACAGCGUGGGGAGCAAACAGG
rnacentral:rRNA from 1 species